rnacentral:rRNA from 1 species
GACGAACGCUGGCGGCGUGCUUAACACAUGCAAGUCGAACGGAAAGGCCCUGCUUUUGUGGGGUGCUCGAGUGGCGAACGGGUGAGUAACACGUGAGUAACCUGCCCUUGACUUUGGGAUAACUUCAGGAAACUGGGGCUAAUACCGGAUAGGAGCUCCUGCCGCAUGGUGGGGGCUGGAAAGUUUCGGCGGUUGGGGAUGGACUCGCGGCUUAUCAGCUUGUUGGUGGGGUAGUGGCUUACCAAGGCUUUGACGGGUAGCCGGCCUGCGAGGGUGACCGGCCACAUUGGGACUGAGAUACGGCCCAGACUCCUACGUGAGGCAGCAGUGGGGAAUAUUGCACAAUGGGCGGAAGCCUGAUGCAGCAACGCCGCGUGCGGGAUGACGGCCUUCGGGUUGUAAACCGCUUUCGCCUGUGACGAAGCGUGAGUGACGGUAAUGGGUAAAGAAGCACCGGCUAACUACGUG